GUUGGCGUACGGUCAGUAACACGUAGUCAACCUGCCCUAGAGACACGGACAACCCCGGGAAACUGGGAUUAAUCCGUGAUAGGUCAUCUCAUCUGGAAGGAGAGAUGGCUUAAAGGGGUGCGCGGGCUUCUUCCGCGUAUUCGCUCUAGGAUGGGACUGCGUCCGAUCAGGCUGUUGGCGGGGUAAUGGCCCACCAAACCUGUAACCGGUACGGGCCUUGAGAGAGGUGGCCCGGAGAUGGACACUGAGAGAAGGGUCCAGGUCCUACGGGGCGCAGCAGGCGCGAAACCUUCGCAAUGCGCGAAAGCGUGACGAGGUUAAUCCGAGUGGUCCCCGCUGAGGGGAUCUUUUGUCAGCUGUAAAUAGGCAGGCGAAUAAGGGGAGGGCAAGCCUGGUGUCAGCCGCCGCGGUAAUACCAGCUCCUCGAGUGGUCGGGGCGAUUAUUGGGCCUAAAGCAUCCGUAGCCGGUUCCGUAGGUCCUCUGUUAAAUCCAACCGCUUAACGGUUGACCUGCAGAGGAUACCGCGGGACUAGGAGGCGGGAGAGGCGGACGGUACUCCGCGUGUAGGGGUAAAAUCCUUUGAUCCGCGGAAGACCACCAGUGGCGAAGGCGGUCCGCCAGAACGCGCUCGACGGUGAGGGAUGAAAGCUGGGGGAGCGAACCGGAUUAGAUACCCGGGUAGUCCCAGCCGUAAACGAUGCUAGCUAGAUGAUUCAUUCGCAAGUCGCGAAUGAAGUGUCGCAGGGAAGCCGUUAAGCUAGCCGCCUGGGGAAAACGGUCGGAAGACUGAACUUAAAGGCCA
rnacentral:rRNA from 1 species